UAUUGUGCACAUACCAUACAGCUCGAAAUAUAUGCAAUCUCUUCUGAUCUUGGAAGCUAAACAGUUUUGGGCUUGGUUAGUACUUGGAUGGGAAACUGUCUAGAAAUAGUGAGUUCUGUUGACU
rnacentral:rRNA from 1 species